rnacentral:rRNA from 1 species
UACAGAGGUCCCGAGCGUUGUUCGGAUUCAUUGGGCGUAAAGGGUGCGUAGGCGGUCUGCUAAGUUUGAUGUGAAAUCCCGGGGCUCAACCCUGGAAUGGCAUUGAAUACUGGCGGACUAGAGUACCGGAGAGGAAACUGGAAUUUACGGUGUAGCAGCGAAAUGCGUAGAGAUCGUAAGGAAGACCAGUGGCGAAGGCGAGUUUCUGGACGGUAACUGACGCUGAGGCACGAAGGCCAGGGGAGCAAACGGG